AACGAACGCUGGCGGCAUGCCUAACACAUGCAAGUCGAACGAGACCUUCGGGUCUAGUGGCGCACGGGUGCGUAACGCGUGGGAACCUGCCCUUAGGUUCGGAAUAACUCCCCGAAAGGGGUGCUAAUACCGGAUAAUGUCUUCGGACCAAAGAUUUAUCGCCUUUGGAUGGGCCCGCGUUGGAUUAGCUAGUUGGUAGGGUAAAAGCCUACCAAGGCGACGAUCCAUAGCUGGUCUGAGAGGAUGAUCAGCCACACUGGGACUGAGACACGGCCCAGACUCUUGCGGAAGGGAGCAGGGGGGAAUAUGGAACAAGGGGCGAAAGCCGAACCCAGCAAUGCCGGGUGAGUGAUGAAGGCUUUAGGGUUAAAAAGCUCUUUUACCCGGGAUGAUAAUGGCUGAACCGGGAAAAAAAGCCCCGGCAAACUCCGU
rnacentral:rRNA from 1 species